rnacentral:rRNA from 1 species
CAAUAGCGUAUAUUAAAGUUGUUGCGGUUAAAAAGCUCGUAGUUGGAUUUCUGCUGAGAACGACCGGUCCGCCCUUUGGGUGUGUAUCUGGCUCUUUCUUGGCAUCUUCUUGGUGAACGUUGCUGCACUUGACUGUGUGGAGCGCUACCCAGGACUUUUACUUUGAGGAAAUUAGAGUGUUUCAAGCAGGCAUACGCCUUGAAUACAUUAGCAUGGAAUAAUAAGAUAGGACCUCGGUUCUAUUUUGUUGGUUUCUAGAGCUGAGGUAAUGAUUAAUAGGGAUAGUUGGGGGCAUUCGUAUUUAACUGUCAGAGGUGAAAUUCUUGUAUUUGUUAAAGACGGACUACUGCGAAAGCAUUUGCCAAGGAUGUUUUCAUUGA